rnacentral:rRNA from 1 species
UACGUAGGGUGCAAGCGUUGUCCGGAAUUAUUGGGCGUAAAGAGCUCGUAGGCGGCUUGUCACGUCGACUGUGAAAACCCGGGGCUCAACUCCGGGCCUGCAGUCGAUACGGGCUGGCUAGAAUUCGGUAGGGGAGACUGGAAUUCCUGGUGUAGCGGUGAAAUGCGCAGAUAUCAGGAGGAACACCGGUGGCGAAGGCGGGUCUCUGGGCCGAUAUUGACGCUGGAGGAGCGAAAGCGUGGGGAGCGAACAGG